GUCUUCUUGUUUUUAUUAGAAGUCUGGCCUGCCCGGUGAAUAUUUUUAACGGCCGCGGUAUUUUGACCGUGCAAAGGUAGCAUAAUCAUUAGUCUUUUAAUAGAAGGCUGGAAUGAAGGGUUUGACGAAGUAGUAGCUGUCUCAUAUUAAAUAAUUUAGAAUUUAAUUUUUGGGUCAAAAAGCCUAAAUAAUAUUGGAAGACGAGAAGACCCUAUAGAGCUUUAUAGUUAAUUAUUUUAUAUAUUUAUUGGUUUAUUCUUUUUAUUUAUAAUAUUAAUUAUUUUGUUGGGGUGACAAAAUUAUAUGUUUAACUUUUAUAAUUUAUUUAACAUUAAUAUAUGAUUUAUUAGAUCCAUUUUUAUUGAUUAUUAGAAUAAGUUACCUUAGGGAUAACAGCGUAAUCUCUCUUUGGAGUUCAAAUUUGCAGAGAGGCUUGCGACCUCGAUGUUGGAUUAAGAUAAUAAUUAGGUGCAGUAGCUUAAUUCAUAGGUCUGUUCGACCUUUAAAUUCUUACAUGAUCUGAGUUCAGACCGG
rnacentral:rRNA from 1 species